GCUACAGUGCUCGAGGGGGUGAUUCGGACGGUUUUGCCAGUUCGAGGGCCUAGGUUACCCGGUUUCGUAGUAGGAGGUUGAAAAACGGACUUCUUGACUAGUUCGAGGUUGUAAAAUAGACUUAUCCCGAGAUUGGAAAGACCUACCUGUGGUUGAGCUUGCAGACAAAGUUAGAGAGAUGAUAAUGAUGUUAUGGAACAAGAGAAGGCAGAUUUCAGAGAAGCUUGAGGGUAAGAUACUACCUGCUGUCCUAACUAUGCUGAAAGCAAGGACUAGAGGAUUAGGAAACCUGACUGUUGUGAAGGCAGCAAGUUGCUUUGCUGCAGAGGUACAUGACACUACCAGCACACAUAAUAGACAUGUUGUGAAAGUCAUACUUGCAUGAAUGUUCCUGCCUUCAAUGGCAGCACACUGGAAAGCCUUGUCAGCAUGCUUUGGCCUUGAUAACAGCCCAACAAAGUGCUGAUGUAAAGUUAGAGGAUUUUGUUCAUGACUAUUACUCAGUGCAGAGGUUCAAAGAUGCAUAUAAAAGGCUCAUAGAACCACUUCCAGAUAAGACACACUGGCCAAAAGUCGACCUUCCUUUUAGUGUUGGAGCACCAUUAGAUAAAAAAGGGCCUGGAAGAUAGAGGAAACUGAGAAUUAAAGGGUGCUUGGAAGGUGGUAGUGGUGGCAAAACUAAGAAAGAUGCCCAGGAGGCUGUAAAUCAAGCUGAUAAAGAUGCUGAAUUGGAGGCUGCUGAGGCUUCUAAAGGGAAGAGGCAGCUGAUUAGAGGGAAGAGGAAAUGCAAUAGAUGUGGUGAAUUGGGACAUUGAGAGAGUAGCUAUAAGUGCAGACUUAAUGGUACAAAGAAGCCUCCAAAAAGGAAGGCAAGGCCAAAUACUACUAAAUAUGGCCCAAAUGCUAAACUCCCUAAAAAAAGAGCAAAAAAAGCAGCCUAAGAAUGAAAUUGGCCAACCUCCUGAGAAUGAAAGUGGCCAACCUCAAGUAACAACUCCCACCAGAACAAGGGAAACAAUAUUGCAGGAGAGUCCAAAUAGGCUGACAAGAAGACAGCUUUCUAUUCUGAUGGAAGAAGAAACCUGUGCUCGGCCGCAGCCUACUCUGAUGGAGAAGGCACAAUGGCUACAAUUAAGCGCACUGCGAGGAAGUUGAUCCCAAGAAAAAAGACAAGCUGAGCAUGAAAUUUGUGUUAUCUUAGUAAACUAUGUUAGUCCGACAUCUUGUAUUUGUGAACUUAUGUCUUUUUGUGUCACCGUGAGAACUUAUGUAUGGAUUCAACUUAUGUUUUUCAUGCCAGUGUGAUAUCUAAUAUAUUUGUGAACUUCUAUCGAAA